rnacentral:rRNA from 1 species
AACAAACGCUGGCGGCGUGCCUAAUACAUGCAAGUCGAACGGGGAAAGCUUUCGGGUGAGUACUAGUGGCGCACGGGUGAGUAAUGCGUGGAUAAUCUGCCUUGAAGAGGGGGAUAACCAGUCGAAAGAUUGGCUAAUACCGCAUAAGACCACAGGAACUGAGGUUCUAGAGGUCAAAGGUUUCUCGCUUCAAGAUGAGUCCGCGUAAGAUUAGCUAGUUAGUGAGGUAACGGCUCACCAAGGCGACGAUCUUUAACUGGUCUGAGAGGAUGAUCAGUCACACUGGAACUGAGACACGGUCCAGACUCCUACGGGAGGCAGCAGUAGGGAAUAUUGCACAAUGGAGGAAACUCUGAUGCGGCGACGCCGCGUGAGUGAUGAAGGCCUUCGGGUCGUAAAGCUCUGUCGCAGGGGAAUAACACAAUGAAGGUACCCUGUAAGAAAGGAUCGGCUAACUUCGUGUCAGCCGCCGCCGUAAUAC